UUGUCUGGAGUGCAGUGGCUAGAGUGGAGUGGCUAUUCACAGCUGAGUUUGCAGAGUAAACCACUACCCUGAAAUCUGGAGAGGCAGGUGCACCCAUAGAGUCUCAGCUGAGAUCCAAUUACCUGAAAUAGAAGCUGCCAUUAGGAACACUUAAAUGUUUUGGAGGCUGGAGUUCACCAUUCAGCAUCUGGCAAGAGCUUGGGUAUCAACCAUUUCUGCUUUGAAGAUGGUGCCUUUUCACUGCGUCUUCACAUAGCAGAAGGGAUAAAUGAGCUCCAUUGGGCCUCUUUUAUAAGGGCACUAAUCCCAUUCAUGAGAGUUCCGUGCUCAAGACCUAAUCACUUCCUAAAAGCCCCAUCUCUUAAUACUAUUGCACUAGGGAUUAGGAUUCAACAUUUGGGGAGAACACAAACAUUUAGGCCAUAGCACAGAGCCAGUUCUGCUGCGACACAGAAUCACUUGCUCCAUCUAAUACAUUGAUGAUGAUUAAUUUGUAUGUGUACCUUCCAAAAAAGAUGGUCGUGUUUGAACGGAGGCCUUCUGGACAGGAAAAUAUGGAGAGUGCAUGCUUUGGAUUCAAGACUGGGAAUGAGGGACCAGAAACCUGUUCUGUGGCUGU
rnacentral:lncRNA from 1 species